UACGAAGGGGGCUAGCGUUGUUCGGAAUUACUGGGCGUAAAGAGCGCGUAGGCGGUUCUAUAAGUCAAUUGUGAAAGGUUAGGGCUCAACCCUAAGAGGGCAGUUGAUACUGUAGGACUAGAGAUCGGGAGAGGUAAAUGGAAUUCCUAGAGUAGGGGUAAAAUCCGUAUAUAUUAGGAGGAACACCAGAAGCGAAGGCGAUUUACUGGAACGAAUCUGACGCUGAGGCGCGAAAGCGUGGGGAGCAAACAGG
rnacentral:rRNA from 1 species